rnacentral:rRNA from 1 species
GGUGAACCUGCGGAAGGAUCAUUACAAAAUGUAUGGGAUGCCCUAUCGGACUCCCAAGCAAAACACAUUCCUGUGUACUCUCCCUCAUUAAACUUUUGAACCAAUUAGUAGUCUGAGAAGGCCAUGUGCCGUAAAAUUUAAACAUGUUAAAACUUUCAACAACGGAUCUCUUGGCUCUCGCAUCGAUGAAGAACGCAGCGAAAUGCGAUAAGUAAUGUGAAUUGCAGAAUUCAGUGAAUCAUCGAAUCUUUGAACGCACAUUGCGCCCUUUGGUAUUCCUUAGGGCAUGCCUGUUCGAGCGUCACUAAAAACCCCCUCACAGAUAAUGUGGUAUUGGUAGAAGUGGAUGGUACUAACACUACUUUGUCUGACUCUACUGAAAUGAAUAGGCCAGAGAAGUUGACCGUGGUAAUAGACUCCAGGAGUGUUUUAAAAUGCUAAAUUAGUCUUCUCCAAGUCAUGUUCUGAGCUACCGG